UACGGGAGGCAGCAGUGGGGAAUAUUGCACAAUGGGCGCAGGCCUGAUGCAGCCAUGCCGCGUGUAUGAAGAAGGCCUUCGGGUUGUAAAGUACUUUCAGUCGUGAGGAAGGUGUUAAGGUUAAUAACCUUAGCAAUUGACGUUAGCGACAGAAGAAGCACCGGCUAACUCCGUGCCAGCAGCCGCGGUAAUACGGAGGGUGCGAGCGUUAAUCGGAAUUACUGGGCGUAAAGGGCACGCAGGCGGUUAAUUAAGUUGGAUGUGAAAUCCCCGGGCUUAACCUGGGAAUGGCAUUCAAGACUGGUUAGCUAGAGUCUUGUAGAGGGGGUAGAAUUCCAUGUGUAGCGGUGAAAUGCGUAGAGAUGUGGAGGAAUACCGGUGGCGAAGGCGGCCCCUGGACAAAGACUGACGCUCAUGUGCGAAAGCGUGGGGAGCAAACAGGAUUAGAUACC
rnacentral:rRNA from 1 species